GAUGAACGCUAGCUACAGGCUUAACACAUGCAAGUCGAGGGGCAGCAUGACCUAGCAAUAGGCUGAUGGCGACCGGCGCACGGGUGAGUAACACGUAUCCAACCUGCCGAUUAUUCCGGGAUAGCCUUUCGAAAGAAAGAUUAAUACUGGAUAGCAUAACGAGAAGGCAUCUUCUUGUUAUUAAAGAAUUUCGAUAAUCGAUGGGGAUGCGUUCCAUUAGUUUGUUGGCGGGGUAACGGCCCACCAAGACAUCGAUGGAUAGGGGUUCUGAGAGGAAGGUCCCCCACAUUGGAACUGAGACACGGUCCAAACUCCUACGGGAGGCAGCAGUGAGGAAUAUUGGUCAAUGGACGAGAGUCUGAACCAGCCAAGUAGCGUGAAGGAUGACUGCCCUAUGGGUUGUAAACUUCUUUUAUAUGGGAAUAAAGUGGGCCACGUGUGGCUUUUUGUAUGUACCAUACGAAUAAGGAUCGGCUAACUCCGUG
rnacentral:rRNA from 1 species